rnacentral:rRNA from 1 species
UCGCAAUGCCCGAAAGGGUGACGAAGCGACGCCGCGUGUGGGAAGAAGGCCUUCGGGUUGUAAACCACUGUCGGGAGUUAAGAAAUGUAAGGAUGUUAAUAGCGUCCUUACUUUGACUAAGGCUCCGGAGGAAGCCACGGCUAACUCUGUGCCAGCAGCCGCGGUAAUACAGAGGUGGCAAGCGUUGUUCGGAAUGAUUGGGCGUAAAGAGCACGUAGGCGGCCUUGAAAGUCAGUUGUGAAAGCCUUCCGCUUAACGGAAGAACAGCAUCUGAUACUACAGGGCUUGAGUGCGGGAGGGGAGAGUGGAACUUCUGGUGGAGCGGUGAAAUGCGUAGAUAUUCAGAAGGAACGCCGGCGGCGAAAGCGGCUCUCUGGCCCGUAACUGACGCUGAGUGUGCGAAAGCUAGGGGAUCAAACGGGAUUAGAUACCCCGGUAGUCCUAGCCGUAAACGAUGGGCACUAA